UACGGGGGGGGCAAGCGUUGUUCGGAAUUACUGGGCGUAAAGGGCUCGUAGGCGGCCAACUAAGUCAGACGUGAAAUCCCCUCGGCUUAACCGGGGAACUGCGUCUGAUACUGGAUGGCUUGAAGUUCGGGAGAGGGAUGCGGAAUUCCAGGUGUAGCGGUGAAAUGCGUAGAUAUCUGGAGGAACACCGGUGGCGAAGGCGGCAUCCUGGAC
rnacentral:rRNA from 1 species